CGAAGAGUAAGAUGAAAUAGUUUGUAACGAUCAGAGCACUGACAAACCCUUUACACAAUUUAUAAUUAUGGAAUUGUAAAUUAUUCUCCUGUGUAUUCAUAGCAGCGAUUACAGCAUUAAUACAGUAGUAAUAAUUACUGUUAUUGAUUUUAUAUUUGUGGUAUUUUAUAUUUGCCAGUGGAUAAGCAUAGAUGGUUUUGUUGUGAAAAACAUGUUUUUUAUAUUUUCAGAUUGCCCCUACCAUAUUGGUCGUGACUCCUUCGAAAUAAGGAGUUACGGGAAGGAGAGGAUGAGAAAGGGCAUUAAAGAAGUCCUUGUUGAUUGGCAGCCUUGCCCAGUUUGUGGGAAGGAGUGGGCCAGGUCCUGGCAGCCAAAAGAUUUGAAUUAGUCCCCCUGCCCUCUUCAAAUAAAAACAUAUUUUCAGUCUUUCUAGAAUGUGGUGCUACUCCUGA